GUACGCUGGCGGCACGCCUAACACAUGCAAGUCGAACGCAGUAGCAAUACUGAGUGGCAAACGGGUGAGUAUAAUGUGGGAAUCUGCCUUUUGGUUUGGAAUAACACGGGGAAACUUGUGCUAAUACCAAAUAAGCCUUUACAGGGAAAGUUUUAACGCCGAAAGAUGAGCCCGCACUUGAUUAGCUAGUUGGUAAGGUAAAAGCUUACCAAGGCAAUGAUCAAUAGCUGUUCUUAGAGGAAGACCAGCCACAUUGGGACUGAGACACGGCCCAGACUCCUACGGGAGGCAGCAGUGGGGAAUCUUGCACAAUGGGGGAAACCCUGAUGCAGCGAUGCCGCGUGAGUGAAGAAGGCCCUUGGGUUGUAAAACUCUUUCGUCGGGGAAGAAAAUGACUGUACCCGAAUAAG
rnacentral:rRNA from 1 species